rnacentral:tRNA from 2 species
GUGAGCUUAGUUUAAGUGGGAAAAACGUUGGUUUCCAAAACCAUUAAUAGAGGUUCGAAUCCUUUAGCUCAUGCCA